GUGCCAGCCGCCGCGGUAAUACAUAGGGUGCAAGCGUUAAUCGGAAUUACUGGGCGUAAAGGGUGCGCAGGCGGCUUGGAAAGAACGGUGUGAAAUCCCGGGGCUCAACCCCGGAACUGCACUAUUAACUAUCAAGCUAGAGUAUGUCAGAGGGGGGUGGAAUUCCGCGUGUAGCAGUGAAAUGCGUAGAUAUGCGGAGGAACACCAAUGGCGAAGGCAGCCCCCUGGGAUAAUACUGACGCUCAGGCACGAAAGCGUGGGUAGCAAACAGGAUUAGAUACCCUCGUAGUCC
rnacentral:rRNA from 1 species